rnacentral:rRNA from 1 species
UACGAAGGGGGCUAGCGUUGUUCGGAAUUACUGGGCGUAAAGCGUGCGCAGGCGGCUUCUCAAGUCAGGGGUGAAAGCCCAGAGCUCAACUCUGGAAUUGCCUUUGAGACUGAGUGGCUUGAGUACGAGAGAGGUGAGUGGAAUUCCCAGUGUAGAGGUGAAAUUCGUAGAUAUUGGGAAGAACACCGGUGGCGAAAGCGGCGCACUGGACCAUAACUGACGCUGAUGCGCGAAAGCUAGGGGAGCAAACAGG